GGGCGGCUAGUUCAGUGGUUAGAACGCCUGCUUCACACGCAGGAAGUCAGAGGUUCGAAUCCUCUGCUGCCCACCA
rnacentral:tRNA from 1 species